rnacentral:rRNA from 1 species
GACGAACGCUGGCGGCGUGCUUAACACAUGCAAGUCGAACGGAAAGGCCCUGCUUUUGUGGGGUGCUCGAGUGGCGAACGGGUGAGUAACACGUGAGUAACCUGCCCUUGACUUUGGGAUAACUUCAGGAAACUGGGGCUAAUACCGGAUAGGAGCUCCUGCUGCAUGGUGGGGGUUGGAAAGUUUCGGCGGUUGGGGAUGGACUCGCGGCUUAUCAGCUUGUUGGUGAGGUAGUGGCUUACCAAGGCUUUGACGGGUAGCCGGCCUGAGAGGGUGACCGGCCACAUUGGGACUGAGAUACGGCCCAGACUCCUACGGGAGGCAGCAGUGGGGAAUAUUGCACAAUGGGCGGAAGCCUGAUGCAGCAACGCCGCGUGCGGGAUGACGGCCUUCGGGCUGUAAACCGCUUUCGCCUGUGACGAAGCGUGAGUGACGGUAAUGGGUAAAGAAGCACCGGCUAACUACGUG